CCCCCGCCCCUUUGCUUUUUCCUCUGUCUUUUUAAUUCUCAAUCUGCUUAACCAGGCUUUAAAGGCCAAGCAAAUCUGAGAUCAAUUUUCUCGUUUAGCUCUAAGUGACAUCAUCUAAAAUCAUUGUGCAAAGGCUAAAUAAGGAAACGGAGUCUAAUUCAGGGGCAAACGCCCGGCUAUAUUUAUGAAACGCCAGGCUCCAGAAAGCCACGGCCAGGAAGCCGACCGCAGCGAAAUCCGAGCUUUCUCUGCACGGUUCCGCCGGGCCGACACCGGGCCCAGGUCAAAGCCGCGCCGCCUCCUCCGCAGCCCUCUUUCUAGGGCUCCUCUGGGGCCCGGGGCUGAGGACUCCUGGCAUCCCGGAGUCUCUGCGGCCCGAGCCGAAUCUGGACCACUUGGAAGACGCCAGCAGGUAACUGGCCUCACAAAACGUCCCUGAGAAUUAAAGGCCUUGGGAGGCUUGUUAUGUAUUUGUGGUUUUGUAAAUGUGGUACCUUGACAGAAGUUUGGGAAAGCCGCACUCCAUCCACAAAGUUGAGAAGGAGUUGCAAGGAAUAGGCGGGUAUCACACGACAAGAAACCUCGGCUACGGCCCGACCCCACCCCCGAUAUACACGAACACACACAGGCGCGCUUUUAUACGUUUCCAUUGAGAGCCCAGAAAAAAUAUUUAUGUUAAGUACCUGCUCUCAGAGCUCUCUCGGAGCAUUUUAGAUACUGAAAGUUAAGCAGAGAAGGGAAACAACCUCUGAUUCCACCCCCAGCCCUCCAUGUCCCUACUGCUGGAGUCCCCACCACUUGUCAAAGCAGCGCAGGAGGCAGCCUGGGUGCGUGUGCUCACC
rnacentral:lncRNA from 1 species